rnacentral:rRNA from 1 species
UACGUAGGCAGCGAGCGUUGUCCGGAUUUACUGGGCGUAAAGAGCGCGCAGGCGGCCAAGUCAGUCGAAUGUGAAAGCCCCCGGCUCAACUGGGGAGGGUCAUUCGAUACUGCUCGGCUCGAAGACAGGAGAGGGAAGUGGAAUUCCCGGUGUAGUGGUGAAAUGCGUAGAUAUCGGGAGGAACACCAGUGGCGAAGGCGACUUUCUGGCCUGUUCUUGACGCUGAGGCGCGAAAGCUAGGGGAGCAAACGGG